rnacentral:rRNA from 1 species
CGGCAAGAGCUCAAAUUUGAAAUCUGGCUCCUUUGGGGCCCGAGUUGUAAUUUGUAGAGGGUGCUUUGGCGUUGGCUAUGGCCCAAGUUCCUUGGAACGGGAUGUCAUAGAGGGUGAGAACCCCGUACAUGGCCGCUGGCCUUCGCCGUGUAAAGCCCCUUCGAC